rnacentral:rRNA from 1 species
UACGUAGGGUGCGAGCGUUAAUCGGAAUUACUGGGCGUAAAGCGUGCGCAGGCGGUUCGUUAUGUCCGAUGUGAAAGCCCCCGAGCUCAACUUGGGAAUGGCAUUGGAAACUGGCGGGCUGGAGUGUGGCAGAGGGGGGGUGGAAUUCCACGUGUAGCAGUGAAAUGCGUAGAGAUGUGGAGGAACACCGAUGGCGAAGGCAGCCCCCUGGGCCAACACUGACGCUCAGGCACGAAAGCGUGGGGAGCAAACAGG